rnacentral:rRNA from 1 species
GAGAGUUUGAUCCUGGCUCAGGACGAACGCUGGCGGCGUGCCUAACACAUGCAAGUCGAACGGAGUAAAGCCCUUCGGGACUUUACUUAGUGGCGAACGGGUGAGUAACGCGUGAGGAACCUGCCUUUCAGUGGGGGACAACAGUUGGAAACGACUGCUAAUACCGCAUGACGCUUCUUGGGGGCAUCCCUGAGAAGUCAAAGAUUUAUUGCUGAAAGAUGGCCUCGCGUCUGAUUAGCUAGUUGGCGGGGUAACGGCCCACCAAGGCGACGAUCAGUAGCCGGUCUGAGAGGAUGAACGGCCACAUUGGGACUGAGAUACGGCCCAGACUCCUACGGGAGGCAGCAGUGGGGAAUAUUGGGCAAUGGGGGAAACCCUGACCCAGCAACGCCGCGUGAAGGAAGAAGGCCUUCGGGUUGUAAACUUCUUUUAGCAGGGACGAAGGACGUGACGGUACCUGCAGAAAAAGCAACGGCUAACUACGUGCCAGCAGCCGCGGUAAUACGUAGGUUGCAAGCGUUGUCCGGAAUUACUGGGUGUAAAGGGCGUGUAGGCGGAGCUGCAAGUCAGAUGUGAAAUCCCGGGGCUCAACCCCGGAACUGCAUUUGAAACUGUAGCCCUUGAGUAUCGGAGAGGCAAGCGGAAUUCCUAGUGUAGCGGUGAAAUGCGUAGAUAUUAGGAGGAACACCAGUGGCGAAGGCGGCUUGCUGGACGACAACUGACGCUGAGGCGCGAAAGCGUGGGGAGCAAACAGGAUUAGAUACCCUGGUAGUCCACGCUGUAAACGAUGAAUACUAGGUGUGGGAGGACUGACCCCUUCCGUGCCGCAGUUAACACAAUAAGUAUUCCACCUGGGGAGUACGACCGCAAGGUUGAAACUCAAAGGAAUUGACGGGGGCCCGCACAAGCAGUGGAUUAUGUGGUUUAAUUCGACGCAACGCGAAGAACCUUACCAGGAUUUGACAUCCAACUAACGAAGUAGAGAUACAUUAGGUACCCUUCGGGGGAAGUUGAGACAGGUGGUGCAUGGUUGUCGUCAGCUCGUGUCGUGAGAUGUUGGGUUAAGUCCCGCAACGAGCGCAACCCCUAUUGUUAGUUGCUACGAAAGAGCACUCUAGCGAGACUGCCGUUGACAAAACGGAGGAAG